AUGUACCUGCACCCAACAAAUAUGAAUACGAAAAGAAAAGAAUCGAGCGAGGAUCAAAGUUUUCAAUGGGCAAACGAUUCAAUAUGCCAAACAGCAUGAAGGACAACCCAGGCCCUGGAACAUAUACGCCGAAACUACUUAAAUUAUCACCAAAGUUUUCAAUGAAGGGAAGAACAUUGAUCAUUAGUAAAAGUGGGAACACUCCAUCCCCAAAUUCAUAUAGCAUCCCACCUGAGAUUAAAUUGAACGACAAGAACGCUGGAGUUACCAUAAAGAGCAGAGCGAGCCCUUACGUGUAUUCCGGAUUUCGCUCAACAAAACUUGUCGAUGGAUGCAACAUGGAAGUACCAGAAAAGGCGUAAUCGAUAUUGAUCCUAUUAUUUAAGGUCACUUGCGCAACCAUAUGUUUUGUAAUUAAUUACGUGCUUUAUGAGAGAAAAUAAAGGAAGUGGAGUAUUAUUUUACGUAUAUCUGAGCUAUUUUUAAUUUGUUUAUACCCUUUCACUUAUUUUUACACAUGCUACAGAUGGCUCUAAGUAUAUACCUUCAGAUUUUGCUUAUAAUUAUAAUGGGAAACGAAUUAGAAAUCGAACAUAC